CGCAAGUAGUAACAAUGCAAGACAUAAAUUCGAAAUAUUUUUUGUUGUUUAUACGUUAACAUUUCGUGGUUAACAUUUAGAAUGUUGAAUUGUGAAAUUAUGGAGAACAACGACGUUUACAAGUGUUUUUUACAACACAGCAGUUUACAUGUGAAACCAAUAAAGUACAGAAGUGAUUAAUGGAUUUCCAACCAAAUUGCAGACAGUGUCGACCAUAAUGACUCAAUUGAAUUUUGAAGUUAGUCCAAUAAUACCGGGGACCAUUGUUUUCGAAAUGGAAAUAUGUAUUAUACUUAAGGUUGACUUCUGCUCUCGGAUAACUUCAGAUGUUUUUCUACACGGCGCUUUUGCUGUCGACUGCAAACGAAACGUUUUUUGCGGUGUCGUUGGCGUUCAGCAGAAAUGCCGGCCGACCGGCCGUCACGAAAGAAAGCUGCUGAAACUGACCGACCAAAAAAGCGCCAUUACCAUAUUAGCCGGCAAUAUGCAAAUCAAAGUCUGCCGCUGCAGGAGCAUUGCUGAAACGAAGACAGUUUGCGAUCGUACCAAUGUUUAGAUUUUAUUUCUUUUCAUAUCGUAUGAUUCAAGAGAUGCGAUAAAACGAUCAUGCAAAUAAAUCAUGCCGAGUUUAUUUGAUCGUGGCUGCUGUUUAUCGAUAUUUGGUUACAGCAGCGUUGUGCCUGGCAGUCCGAUAAGCUGUACACUGCAGAUUCGAGAAAAAGAGUUGUUUAAUGAAUUGGACUCCAUUAGAUACCUUCAAAUUUUGGUAAGUGCCAUUAUAUCGAUCUCCGCUCGAUGUUCGUAUGCCAACCUUUUAUACGUGUUUAGCAAGUGUAUCGCAAUACUGAUAGUGACCGCAUGUUGUCGCCGCGUGUUGUUGUUGGCUGUGUAGUUCGGUAUACAUGCAAUGUGAUUCUGACCAUCGAAUGAAUCACGCGUAUUCAUCACGACUAAUUUUGUCUCUUCAGUACAUGAAUAAGUUAAUCAAUUGAUAUUCAUUAAACAUUGAGCGGCAUAUACCGGAAUCUCGCGUGAUCGAGGUUUUACAAGUGUACUAGCGUUGAGUGUUUAUCAAUCGCAGAAUAAUUUUCGGUUUACCUGUGCGCGUGUGUGAUUCCGUCGGCUAACGGUUAUUUUUUCGCACCUAAAAAUAACAUUGGUAUAGGAUGAAUUCCUGCAAAUAGACAAUAUUGGUGUCCCGGAAAUAAGUUUGUGAGUGCACGAAUCAUGGAGUUUACAAUAUGUAGCAGUGUUGGAGAUGCACGUAUUUUAAGGCUUUACUGCCACGUGAUUUGAUAGCCAUCGAUAUAUAUUUGUUUGUAUAUUUUUUACUAG